rnacentral:rRNA from 1 species
GAAGAUGCAGUGUACCCGCGGCAAGACGGAAAGACCCCGUGAACCUUUACUAUAGCUUGACACUGAACAUUGAGCCUUGAUGUGUAGGAUAGGUGGGAGGCUUUGAAGCGUGGACGCCAGUCUGCGUGGAGCCGACCUUGAAAUACCACCCUUUAAUGUUUGAUGUUCUAACGUGGACCCGUGAUCCGGGUUGCGGACAGUGUCUGGUGGGUAGUUUGACUGGGGCGGUCUCCUCCUAAAGAGUAACGGAGGAGCACGAAGGUUGGCUAAUCCUGGUCGGACAUCAGGAGGUUAGUGCAAUGGCAUAAGCCAGCUUGACUGCGAGCGUGACGGCGCGAGCAGGUGCGAAAGCAGGUCAUAGUGAUCCGGUGGUUCUGAAUGGAAGGGCCAUCGCUCAACGGAUAAAAGGUACUCCGGGGAUAACAGGCUGAUACCGCCCAAGAGUUCAUAUCGACGGCGGUGUUUGGCACCUCGAUGUCGGCUCAUCACAUCCUGGGGCUGAAGUAGGUCCCAAGGGUAUGGCUGUUCGCCAUUUAAAGUGGUACGCGAGCUGGGUUUAGAACGUCGUGAGACAGUUCGGUCCCUAUCUGCCGUGGGCGCUGGAGAACUGAGGGGGGCUGCUCCUAGUACGAGAGGACCGGAGUGGACGCAUCACUGGUGUUCGGGUUGUCAUGCCAAUGGCACUGCCCGGUAGCUAAAUGCGGAAGAGAUAAGUGCUGAAAGCAUCUAAGCACGAAACUUGCCCCGAGAUGAGUUCUCCCUGAGACUUAGAGUCUCCUGAAGGAACGUUGAAGACGACGACGUUGAUAGGCCGGGUGUGUAAGCGCAGCGAUGCGUUGAGCUAACCGGUACUAAUGAACCGUGAGGCUUAACCUUACAACGCCGAAG